CGUCGUCGCCAAGAGAAGAGGCUUCGCGCGCGUGGGGGCCAUGAUUGGAUUGGAUUGGAUGGCGCGGGGGAGGUGGAGGUGGUGCUGACUCUGCUCUUCAACCUGCUGCUGCUGGUGUUCCUGGUGAAGCUCCUGGUGGCCAUGUUCAGCACCAAGCUCGCCGUCAUCCUGCUCUACCUCGCCCUCCUCCUCUUCGCCAUGGCCCUCUCCGGCUGCUUCCCCGGCGGCGAGUUCCUCUGAUCCCCACAUCCGCCGCCAGCCCAAAAUCCCUGAUGAGCCACAAAGAAAGAGGAAAGUGCAUUGCUGCUUGGUGAGCUGAGCUAAGCAAGGGAGUUUUCUGCAAAAAAAACAUGCCGCAUCAACACCUGACUGGCGGGCCCCGCUGGUCAGAUACACCGUCAAUACGUGUUUAUACGCGGUUUAGACCUUUUUGUAACGGCUGACCCCAGACUUGGUACUGACAUGUAAAAAUUACCAAAAGUGGUACCAAUCCGCAUGUAAUGCCCCAAUUCUGGUACUUCUAUGCAAUUAACUCCGUUACAUAUCAUA